rnacentral:rRNA from 1 species
AGAACGAACGCUGGCGGCAGGCUUAACACAUGCAAGUCGAACGCCCGUAGCAAUACGGGAGUGGCAGACGGGUGAGUAACACGUGGGAACAUACCCUUUGGUACGGAACAACUCGGGGAAACUCGAGCUAAUACCGUAUACGGCCGAGAGGCGAAAGAUUGAUCGCCGAAGGAUUGGCCCGCGUCCGAUUAGCUAGUUGGUGAGGUAAUGGCUCACCAAGGCGACGAUCGGUAGCUGGUCUGAGAGGAUGGCCAGCCACAUUGGGACUGAGACACGGCCCAAACUCCUACGGGAGGCAGCAGUGGGGAAUAUUGGACAAUGGGCGCAAAGCCUGAUCCAGCCAUGCCGCGUGAGUGAUGAAGGCCUUAGGGUUGUAAAAGCGUACUUUCGUCAGGGACGAUAAUGACGGUACCUGAAGAAGAAGCCCGGCUAACUUCGUGCCAGCAGCCGC